UUCCUGCCACCCUGCAGGCCGGGAAGUUGGCAGGUGUGGCGGGUGGGGUGAGGGGUCCGAGUCCCAUGGCCUAGGACGUUCAUUUCUCCGAGGCUCGGUCUCUCCUCUGGUGGGACCAUGUCUCGAAGAGCCCCUGGCUUGGCUUCUGGAGCUGGCGGCCAGGUAGGAGCCCCCAGGAAAGCUCCAUCGGCUGCUGCUGAGCCGAGCUCUCCUGAACCCGGCCUGCGCUGCCCCCAGCGCACCUGGACCACAGACCCAAGUGAUGUGAUAUGAAGAGGGAAUGAAACGCUGACAGGGAGCGCUGGCUCACGUCUGUGAUCCCACCACUUUGGGGGGCCGAGAGCCACCAGGAAGAUCAAGGAGCCAGGGCCACCCUCACGUUGCCUAGGCAACAGCAUCCGUGAUCAGACUGUAAGGCAACUGGGACCCAUGCGUGCUCCCCGGGGGAGGCUGCAGGUUCACGUCGGUGUCCGGGUAUCUUACAGAAUGUUCUUAAUCUUCACGUGCUUCUUCUGAGAUCAGUGAUAAAGAAGACACGGAUACAGCAAGAAGG
ensembl:lncRNA novel transcript